GGAAGGUUGAUAGCUCAUUGGCAGAACAUCUGCUUCACAUGCAUAAGGUCUUAGGUUCAAUCCUCAGCAUCUCCA